rnacentral:rRNA from 1 species
CCUACGGGAGGCAGCAGUGGGGAAUAUUGGACAAUGGGCGAGAGCCUGAUCCAGCCAUGCCGCGUGUGUGAAGAAGGCCUUCGGGUUGUAAAGCACUUUCAGUGGGGAAGAAAGCCUUGGGGCUAAUACCCUCGAGGAAGGACAUCACCCACAGAAGAAGCACCGGCUAACUCCGUGCCAGCAGCCGCGGUAAUACGGAGGGUGCGAGCGUUAAUCGGAAUUACUGGGCGUAAAGCGCACGUAGGCGGUCUGAUAAGCCGGUUGUGAAAGCCCCGGGCUCAACCUGGGAACGGCAUCCGGAACUGUCAGGCUAGAGUGCAGGAGAGGAAGGUAGAAUUCCCGGUGUAGCGGUGAAAUGCGUAGAGAUCGGGAGGAAUACCAGUGGCGAAGGCGGCCUUCUGGACUGACACUGACGCUGAGGUGCGAAAGCGUGGGUAGCAAACAGGAUUAGAUACCCUUGUAGUC